rnacentral:rRNA from 1 species
GGGGGGGGGGGGGGGGGGGGGGGGGGCGGGGGGGGGGAGGGGGAAGGCGGUGCUGGGGGGGGGGGCUGGAGUGGCGAACGGGUGGGGAACAGGUGAGUAACCUGCCCUUGACUUUGGGGUAACUGCAGGAAACUGGGGCUAAUACCGGAUAGGAGCUCCUGCGGCGUGGGGGGGGUUGGUAAGGUUCUGCGGUUGGGGCUGGACUCGCGGCUUAUCAGCUUGGUGGUGGGGUAGUGGCUUACCAAGGCUUUGACGGGUAGCCGGCCGGAGAGGGUGACCGGCCACAUUGGGACUGAGAUACGGCCCAGACUCCUACGGGAGGCAGCAGUGGGGAAUAUUGCACAAUGGGCGGAAGCCUGAUGCAGCAACGCCGCGUGCGGGAUGACGGCCUUCGGGUUGUAAACCGCUUUCGCCUGUGACGAAGCGUGAGUGACGGUAAUGGGUAAAGAAGCACCGGCUAACUACGUG